AGAGUUUGAUCAUGGCUCAGAUUGAACGCUGGCGGCAUGCCUAACACAUGCAAGUCGAGCGGCAGCAUGAUGUGUAGCAAUACACAUUGAUGGCGAGCGGCGGACGGGUGAGUAAUGCAUGGGGAUCUGCCCAGUAGCGGGGGACAACCCGGAGAAAUCCGGGCUAAUACCGCAUACGCCCUACGGGGGAAAGUGGAGGACCGAAAGGCUUCACACUAUUGGAGGAACCCAUGCCCGAUUAGCUAGUUGGUGAGGUAACGGCUCACCAAGGCGACGAUCGGUAGCUGGUCUGAGAGGACGAUCAGCCACACCGGAACUGAGACACGGUCCGGACUCCUACGGGAGGCAGCAGUGGGGAAUAUUGGACAAUGGGGGAAACCCUGAUCCAGCAAUGCCGCGUGGGUGAAGAAGGCCUGCGGGUUGUAAAGCCCUUUCGGUGAAGACAAAACGCGACGUGCUAAUACCACGUUGUUUUGAUUUAACUCACUAAAGAAGCACCGGCUAACUCUGUGCCAGCAGCCGCGGUAAUACAGAGGGUGCAAGCGUUAAUCGGAAUUACUGGGCGUAAAGCGCACGUAGGUGGCUUGAUAAGUUGGGUGUGAAAUCCCCGGGCUUAACCUGGGAAUUGCAUUCAAGACUGUCUUGCUAGAGUGUGGAAGAGGGAAGCGGAAUUCCAGGUGUAGCGGUGAAAUGCGUAGAUAUCUGGAGGAACAUCAGUGGCGAAGGCGGCUUCCUGGUCCAACACUGACACUGAGGUGCGAAAGCGUGGGGAGCAAACAGGAUUAGAUACCCUAGUAGUCC
rnacentral:rRNA from 1 species